rnacentral:rRNA from 1 species
CCCGCUGAACUUAAGCAUAUCAAUAAGCGGAGGAAAAGAAACUAACAAGGAUUCCCCUAGUAACUGCGAGUGAAGCGGGAAAAGCUCAAAUUUAAAAUCUGGUGGUCUUUGGCCAUCCGAGUUGUAAUUUAGAGAAGCGUCUUCCGCGCUGGACCGUGCACAAGUCUCCUGGAAUGGAGCGUCACAGAGGGUGAGAAUCCCGUCUUUGGCAUGGACACACCAGGGCUUUUGUGAUGCGCUCUCGAAGAGUCGAGUUGUUUGGGAAUGCAGCUCAAAAUGGGUGGUGAACUCCAUCUAAAGCUAAAUAUUGGCGAGAGACCGAUAGCGAACAAGUACCGUGAGGGAAAGAUGAAAAGCACUUUGGAAAGAGAGUUAAACAGUACGUGAAAUUGCUGAAAGGGAAACGCUUGAAGUCAGUCGCGUUGGCCAGGGAUCAGCCUUGCUUUUGCAUGGUGUACUUUCUGGUUGACGGGUCAGCAUCAAUUUUGACCGCUGGAAAAGGGCCUGGGGAAUGUGGCAGCUUCGGCUGUGUUAUAGCCCCUGGUCACAUACGGCGGUUGGGAUUGAGGAACUCAGCACGCCGCAAGGCCGGGUUUCGACCACGUUCGUGCUUAGGAUGCUGGCAUAAUGGCUUUAAGCGACCCGUCUUGAAACACGG